AAGGAGAAGACAGUACAACAUUCAAAACUUCAAAGUUUUCUUCAAAGUGAAGCAAAGAAACAGGUAGAAACUGGAAGGAAAGCAUGGCAUCAAGAGAAAGGUAUUUUUUAAGAUGAAAAAUAUUAUCUGCAGACUAACAGAUUAUCUAACAGAAUUAAGAGAUCAAAAAUAAAGGAGAAAACACAAUUGGAUGUGAGAGUAAAAGUUUUACAUAUGUACGAGUGGACGGGAAUCUAGUGUACAAGUGAAGGGAUGGUCUAAAUAGAAUAAGAGACAAUACAUCCACAGUGAGGGGUUAAGCUUAAUUCUCAACUCAACUGGACUAAGGGACUCUUGGAAAGGUGAUUAGAUCCUGGUGCACUAUACUCAUCAGUGGAUUAAUGUACUGAUAGUCCUAGCUGAAUGUCUUGUUAAGAAAGAAGGCCUCUAUGGAGAGUGUUCACUAGGAGUGUGCCUUCAGUGAGUAUAUCUCUCACUGAUGCUCUGUUUCCCUGCCACCAUAAACUAAAUGGUUUUGCUCCACCCUCCCUUCUGCCAUGAUGUUCCUGCCUUGGAGCCAACCUACCAUGGACUGAAUGCACUGAACCAUAUGCCACUGCUUUUUUAAACUGUAGGUAGUGGGUACUUUAUUCCAGCAAGGGGAAAGGUGAUCAGUAUAUCCACUGUGACAAAGGGAAAGCAGAAUAAACAGUGAAAGAGAGAAAUGAAACUGUUUCAGUAGUGGGAAGAUGAGAGCAUGGGCUUCUGGUUGUUUCCAAUUACUAAGUAAAAUAUUGGACACCUUUUAUAAGUUGAAAGUAAAGUGGUGAGUUGGAGAAAGAACAAGUGGUUGAUGUCAUGGCAGGUGGAAUGCUGAGAAAAUCAGAAUUCCAGGAAGUGUUUCUGACUUCUUUGAGAUUGUGGUCAUAAUUCUGAGCCCAACGGUGGAUGUUUUUGUAGCCACUUUCUGUGGUGAUGACGUUUUCAAGUAUGGUUAGUGUUUGGGAUGGCUGACAAGAAUGGAAAAGGUUUUGAAGGGAUUUUCUUUUUGUUUUUUUUUUUUUUUUUUGGUUUUUCUCCGGUACCGGGAACCGAACUCACGACCUUGCGCUUGCCAGGCAGGCGCUUUUGCCGCUGAGCUAAAUCCCCAGCCCCUUGAAGGGAUUUUCAUAGGAAUGAUUAUGGUGAAAAAUCACAGACUGGAACCCUGGUUCUCUGGAAAUAUCAAUCACUGCAAGCAAGCAGCCAGCUACUAAUGAGCAACCACACAAAUGAGUCUCAUUGAAAAUACUUUAAACUCAGCAAAGCCCAAGGGCAGGACUGGCAUGGCGCGGCUGAGUGCUGAGACAUUAUGAAACAUUGCAGCUGAGCUCUCCAGGCCCUCACUGAGGUCAAGGGGAGGUGGAAGAGAUGACUUCAUGCAGCCUCCUGCCAGAAGCUUGAUAUCCGAUGUCGACAGCUGACAGCGAGCCAAGUGAAUUCACUCAGGUUUGGAUACUGUACAAGUUAGGUGUCUCAUGUGACUCUGUAAUUGGUCUAUACACCUCAGAUUAGACUAUUUAAAAACACAGGAAUUUCAGGGUGAUAUUGAUUCCACUACAAAGCAUGAGGUGUUGAAUAGUAAUCACAGCCCCCGUGGCCUGACUCAGAGAUGUUCAUAGUAAGGCUCACAAAUGAGUUGACCUCAAGCCCUUCGUAGGAAGACAAAUUUUAGAUCAAAACGUUCUCCUUCAGAUUCAGUUAUUGCCUCUGUCAGAAUAAUUUGCUUGUUCGUUUGCAUGUCACCGAGCUCCUCCCACACUGGAAUAUGAAGUCUGUAAGAGUGCUGACAGAGAUCUCCUUUCUUCAUUCCUUCUUUCCUCAGCACACAGAGAUCAUAAGAGGAUUCAACAAAUACUUACUCAGUGAAUGACAAAGAAUGGAAAUUAUAAAUCCAGGCUAACAGUUACCACUGAGGAGAGAAAGGAGAGGACAAAAAUUACUACAGAAACACAGGCCUCACCUGUGUCUCUAAUAAUGCAUUGCCUUUAAAAAGAUUUGAUAUAAAUAUCCAAAACACCAAGCCCUGGGGAAAAAAAAAAUUCAGGUAUGACAAUAAUAAAAGGUUGGCACAAGUAGUGAGAAUCACACCAGUUAAAUUAACAUAUGGUUUUAAUUCAUAUAAGGAAAAGAUGGGUACCUCCUUCAUUUGUCUUUUAUAGUUCUUUUCAAGCUAACUCUUAUCAACUGUGUCCAUAUCUCAUUAUAGUCAGAAAUAGUCACUUUUUUGCUUAAUUUAUAGAAUGUCAUUUAUACUGAAAAUUAUAAUUGACACUUUAAGACUGUAUAAUACAAUUAAUCAGUUCAGUAUUUAUCUAUUUGAUUUGUUUAAAUUAUCCAACCUAUAGUGACUUGAAAGUCCAAAUUUUUUGAUGAAAGUAUUUUAUUGAGCAAUUUGGCCAAAUAUUUUAAUUAUCGUGUUUAUCCAGCUUUCUUCAUCGACAGCAUCCAUUGAAAAAUAUAGAAAGCUUUCACACAUAUUACGUUCUGGUUUUACUUACUUACUAAAGUAUUUUUCCUGUCUCUUGGAGGAUACAUUAAAUUUUUAAAAAUUGAAAAUUUUCAUUGCUGUUCUUAGUACCCCUGCAGAC
ensembl:lincRNA